CUGAGUACGGCGGAACACGUGAAAUUCCGUCGGAAUCCGGGAGGACCAUCUCCCAAGGCUAAAUACUCCCUAGUGACCGAUAGUGAACCAGUACCGUGAGGGAAAGGUGAAAAGCACCCCGGAAGGGGAGUGAAACAGUUCCUGAAACCGUGUGCCUACAAGUAGUUAGAGCCCGUUAAUGGGUGAUAGCGUGCCUUUUGUAGAAUGAACCGGCGAGUUACGAUUUGUUGCAAGGUUAAGCGGAAAAAGCGGAGCCGUAGCGAAAGCGAGUCUGAAUAGGGCGCAUAAGUAACAGGUCGUAGACCCGAAACCAGGUGAUCUACCCAUGUCCAGGAUGAAGGUAAGGUAAUACUUACUGGAGGUCCGAACCCACGCACGUUGAAAAGUGCGGGGAUGAGGUGUGGGUAGCGGAGAAAUUCCAAUCGAACUUGGAGAUAGCUGGUUCUCUCCGAAAUAGCUUUAGGGCUAGCCUCGAGGUAAAGAGUCAUGGAGGUAGAGCACUGUUUGGACUAGGGGCCCUUCUCGGGUUACCGAAUUCAGAUAAACUCCGAAUGCCAUGUACUUAUACUCGGGAGUCAGACUGCGAGUGAUAAGAUCCGUAGUCGAAAGGGAAACAGCCCAGACCACCAGUUAAGGUCCCCAAAUAUAUGUUAAGUGGAAAAGGAUGUGGGGUUGCUUAGACAACCAGGAUGUUGGCUUAGAAGCAGCCACCAUUGAAAGAGUGCGUAAUAGCUCACUGGUCGAGUGACCCCGCGCCGAAAAUGUACCGGGGCUAAACAUAUUACCGAAACUGUGGAUGAACCUCUUUAGAGGUUCGUGGUAGGAGAGCGUUCUAAGGGCGGUGAAGUCAGACCGGAAGGACUGGUGGAGCGCUUAGAAGUGAGAAUGCCGGUAUGAGUAGCGAAAGAAGGGUGAGAAUCCCUUCCACCGAAUAUCUAAGGUUUCCUGAGGAAGGCUCGUCCGCUCAGGGUUAGUCGGGACCUAAGCCGAGGCCGAUAGGCGUAGGCGAUGGACAACAGGUAGAGAUUCCUGUACCAGUGCUAAUUGUUUAACCGAUGGGGUGACACAGAAGGAUAGGGAAUC
rnacentral:rRNA from 1 species